rnacentral:rRNA from 1 species
GAUGAACGCUGGCGGCGUGCCUAAUACAUGCAAGUCGAGCGAACGGACGAGAAGCUUUCUUCUCUGAUGUUAGCGGCGGACGGGUGAGUAACACGUGGAUAACCUACCUAUAAGACUGGGAUAACUUCGGGAAACCGGAGCUAAUACCGGAUAAUAGUUUGAACCGCAUGGUUCAAAAGUGAAAGACUGUCUUGCUGUCACUUAUAGAUGGAUCCGCGCUGCAUUAGCUAGUUGGUAAGGUAACGGCUUACCAAGGCAACGAUGCAUAGCCGACCUGAGAGGGUGAUCGGCCACACUGGAACUGAGACACGGUCCAGACUCCUACGGGAGGCAGCAGUAGGGAAUCUUCCGCAAUGGGCGAAAGCAUGACGGAGCAACGCCGCGUGAGUGAUGAAGGUCUUCGGAUCGGAAAACUCUGUUAUUAGGGAAGAACAUAUGUGUAAGUAACUGUGCACAUCUUGACGGUACCUAAUCAGAAAGCCGCGGCUAACUACGUG